ACAACAAAAAAAACCUCACAAAGUUAAUGCUGGAAACAAAAAUGUCAUGGGUUAAGUGUCUACCUCUUGCCUUAUUGAACAUUCGAACUCAACCCCAAACUAAUGUGGGAAUCUCUCCAUUUGAAAUGUUAUUUAGAAUGCCCAAAGAUCACCCCUGCCUAAAAGAUGCUCAUAUUAAAUUUUACAUCACCCAAAUUAUGAGCAGAAGGCAGGACUUGAGGAAGAAAGAAGUGUUGGCACAGAGACCACCAAUCCAUAAGAUAAAACCAGGAGAUCAAGUAUCACAGAAACGGCAGUCAAGACGGCCGAAAAGGGGUGGACUCACGCCAGCCAAGUGAAAGGCCCGGUUGCCACAAAUAACCAGUGGAGAGUGACUAGCCAGCCUGGGAACUUGAAAGUGACUCUUAAGAAAAACUAAUGAACUCUGUGGACAUCAUCCAAAUCAACCAUAAGGGGAAGCAAAGGGAUACAAUUACAAACUAGCUAAAGACUAUAUAGUGAUUUGUAACAAGGAAGGUUGUGGAGAUUGUUAUCCUUUUGUGUGCUUUAUAUGUAAAAUUUGCCAAGAACGGUGGUGGGUCCAUUGCCAGAGGGGAAGACCACCAAUUGGGGUUUGUACUGAGUGCUAUAAAACUCAGCGAAAACUAACUGAAACUGUGCCAAGGAUAGGAGAACUGGAAAAUCGGUGGGUCAAUUUUGGAUCUGAGUGGUGGGAAAUAUUUACCAAGGGAGUAUACCCUGAGUAUUUUUGUUUUCAUACUAACGAGCCCACUCCAUUUGCUGCUCAGAUAAUAAAAGGGUGUUGUCGAAAGGAACUGAAGGGGAUUCCUUGCAACCCACUUCUGGCCAAAGAUAAGAACUGGGAACAGUACAAGGCUAGGCAGGAGCGGAAAAGGGGACGCUCAGGCGAGUACUGCUGCUGCCGAGAAGAUGGUUUACCUCGCGGCUCGAAGCACCCGAGUCGGCGAGCGAGGCAGAGAGGAAAAGGCCAAGCCCCCUCUAAGUGGAACAAUGCUGAAAUGCUCCAACUACUGCCAGCCGAGUACUAGGAUCCCUCAAAGGACCAGUCUAAGUGCCUCCGAAACACCAAGGGAGCAGCAAGCCAAAAAGGGGAAAACAGGAUAUUACAAAACAAAAUCAAGGCUAGGACUCCACCCUUAUUGGCGAAUUAUUAGUUUUCUAUUGCUCUGUCCUAGUGGUGUUUCUAGUCAGGACAAUGCUAAACACUUUACUUCUAGCCUACGAAACAGCAAAGCGAUUUGAUGAACGAAAUGGUAAAAGAGAAAAUGGGGGAUUGUGAUAAACUGUGGUAACUUGUUUGUUCAUCAAAGGAAUUGGAAUAUUAAAGGAGGAAAAAUAAAAUUAAAGUAUGAGGGACUAGCUUGCUUGUUAGGAGAUAGGGGAAGCAUCUGUGAAGUUGGGAAACAGCAACUUGUGGGUUUUACUAAAAAAAGGACAAUAAAGAAGCAACUGCUACAAACCGCAAGGCUAUAGGCAUAUUGCAAGGCUAUAGACAUAUUGCAAAACGCAAGACCGCAAGUAUGAUUAAUCACCAUUUAGGGAGCUUUUCUUAGCUUCUCUUGCAGACACAGGCUAAGGAUGUUGGGGGAUGGCCGGAGCUGAUUAUGAAAUCAGCGACCACCAGGCAACGGCCACCGGACUAGACAACGUAGGAGUGCUCUGGGUACGCCCAUCACUGUCCGGAACCGAUUGUGAAACCAACGAUCACCUGCCUCGACACAACGCAGACACGAUGCAGAGGGAUGCUCAAGCUACGCCCACCGCUAUCACAAGAGACGCGAAUGAAGAAACCUCCAAGAAACUAUAAAAGAGACUGAAUAAGGGGGGUGGGGUGUGGGGCACUGCAGUGUGGGACACUGCAGGAGGGGCGGUUAGGAGACCCCUACCCACCCAGCGCUGUUUUGCUUGCUACUGCUUGCUGUAAUUAAUAAAAUUCUAAAUGACCUUCAAAAGGCUGAAUCAAAUUAUUCGCCUCAAUUUAUCACAGGGAGAAGGCUAAAGGGAGGGGAAAUAUAACAUUAACCAGUGGGGAAAAGGGAAAGGAGUGUUCUUGGUGGAAGAACCAAAGGGAAAACGUGGAACAGAGAAGAUUCUAGGCUAAGGGGCAGACUUGAACAAUAACCGACAGGACAGGGGGAGGGUACAAUUCUCUUACAAAAGGGGGUGGAGAACUCAUACAACUGCUGUUUCCCAUGGCAACCCUAGACUGCCUUCCCCAACCCCUCCUCCUACACCAGUGACAGCUUUUCACACUGAAGGCAAGUGCUAUUGUAUAACAAACACUUAACUCUUAGCCCAGCCGGGCUCGCUGGCUACUUUUGCAAGCUUUUUACCAACUAGCGAGGCUUGUAAGCGGUGCUUGUAACUCCUAGCUUGUACCACGCUCCCACUAGCUGCGCUAUCAGCUAGCGGCGUUCAAAGCAGCUCCUCAAACCGCGGCUUGUGCCCGCGCGCCCGCUGCGCUAUCAGCUGGGCUGCGCCUAAAGCACCUUUGCAAGCCCCGACUUAAGCCCCGCGCCGCGCUCCCCUCGCUCGCCAGGGACAGCCCGUGCCACGCAUGCGCACCACCCGCUCUAUCAGGUAGAGUGCGCACUACCCGCACUAUCAGGUAGUGUGGCUGAGAGCUGCCCUGCGCAUGCGCCCCACCCGCUCGAUCAGGUAGAGUGGCUGCUAGCCGCCCCGAGCAUGCGCACUACCCGCACUAGCAGGUAGUGUGGCUGAGCUGCCCCGCGCAUGCGCACUACCCGCACUAGCAGGUAGUGUGGGCUGAGAGCUGCCCUGCGCAUGCGCUCUCUAGCACUGCCGCGCCGCGUCUCUCUAUCUUAGCAACGCCGCACCGCGCAUCACCGUUCCACUCACACAUACACACACACGCACAAGCACGCACGUCCGGACGUAACAGACACACUACACUGCAAUCGGGACACACACCACACACUGAAAUCGCGAUUUCGCCCUCCCCGAGCCGCGCUAUCAGCUGGGGAGGUCCUCCCGCCGCCGGCCUCUCCCCCGAUGGCGGUCUGCUUGCAAGCCCCUAGGCAAACCUGCGCGCAAAAACAUCUUUUUGCGACUUAUCAGUGCCAACCUUAAGAAAAUAAAUUAAUACAUACCGCUUUCAUCCGCUAGUCGACGGGCCGUGGUAUGCUCCUCGCAGUGUACAGCCGAGGCGCAGAGUCCCUCCGGGGAAAAGCCCCGUGGCGCCUGAGGGUGUCUGCUCCCAACCGGACCUGCAGGUGAGCAGAGCAGUCCCUUCGUGGUCGCCAACUGAAACGAUACGCGGAAUAAAUCAAUAGACUCCAUAACCUGGGUUAGUUAUGAAGUGGGUAUGUACGUCAGCGCCCGGCACAAGUGAGAUAGCUCUCCAAAACUUGUGCCCCGAGCCUCAGUCUGACCCACACUUUUAUUCUUAAAGACGUUCCAUAUGCAAUACACUGCACGACUUUUUCAUGCGUAUUCAACCCCUGGCCCCGCCUGUCCUCGCUUCUCCUGCUAACAGCUGCCACCGUGUUCUCUGCAUCUCGGAGCCUCUGGGGAGCAACAAGAAUUUCCACGGUGGUGUAAGAGCCCGUCUGAAGCCCCUCAUUUUCCGUUCUGCCUUCCGAUUGCCACGAGAAAGAAUCCCUUCCUCCACUGCAGUUCCGGCUUAGAACAGGACACAGUGCAGGUGCAACCACUGAACCGUCAUGCUAGCUGUUCCGAACAAGGCCUGGCAAGAACUUGGCAAGGACUUGGCAAGGACUUGGCAAAGACCUGACGUGGACCCAGCACGGGACAGCCUGAUGCGCGGCCUGCUUCUAAUCUCCGUUCUUAAGCCAAAUGAACUUUUGGGGUGACUCCCGGGGUCCUUCAUUGAAGACCCCUCAUCUGCCUCAUUACCAGUGUGACAAACAAAGAAUGAGAACCCUCCUCCCAAGGACUGAGACUGAGACCCCUGCUAUAGGGAGGAGGGGAAAUUGGUGGUCUGACCACUAAUGACAUGACCUGUUUCCCUUCAGUGAUUCAAAUGGACUUAUUCUUCAUUGUAUUCGUCUUGCUUUGGUGGUUUCUGUGGACUCACCUGUUCCCGCGUGGCGAUUACAAUGGACUUUCGUUGUUACACUUGCUCCCCCCUCUUUCCUCUGUGGACUAUAACUGGAGCCCCGAGUCGACCAGAACUUCGGAGACUCCCCCGACACGACAGACGGAACCCCAUCGUCCGGACCACUGAGGAUCUCGCCUGUGUUGGUAGCUAUUCCCAUACCCCUCUUCUCUCUCUCUCUCUCUCCUUUUAUCUCCUUUCCGAUCCCCACUAUCGCAUUUACUGGUUUGGCCCCUAAUAAAGGUGCAUUUGUUGUGAUUAACUGAUA